rnacentral:misc_RNA from 1 species
GAAAGGCGUAGCCAAUGAACAACAGGUGAAUAUUCGUGUAUUAACCCUUGUUGGUCCACUAAAGGACGGAGUAGGUUGGAUUAGACUAAAGAUAUGGUAAUAUGUUGAAGAACGUAAGGUGUCCUUGCUUAUACAGGAUAAGCAGGGAUAGAGAAAAUGCCUCGAGCAAAUGUUUAAACACCAGGAUAAACCAAAAGCUCUUGUUGCAAUCAUCAACUGCAACAUUGAAUUGAGACUUUGCACUUUGCUAAACCCUUUGCGUUUGUAUUAACUUUUGACCUGCAUACAUUUUAUUCUCUCCAGACCUUGCAUAUGAGAUUUUACGAGAUAUGUUGUUGAAAUGCAGAAAUUGGG